rnacentral:rRNA from 1 species
UACGUAGGGGGCGAGCGUUGUCCGGAUUUAUUGGGCGUAAAGAGCGUGUAGGCGGCCAGGUAGGUCCGUUGUGAAAACUCGAGGCUCAACCUCGAAACGUCGAUGGAAACCAUCUGGCUAGAGUCCGGAAGAGGAGAGUGGAAUUCCUGGUGUAGCGGUGAAAUGCGCAGAUAUCAGGAAGAACACCUAUGGCGAAGGCAGCUCUCUGGGACGGUACUGACGCUGAGACGCGAAAGCGUGGGGAGCGAACAGG